rnacentral:rRNA from 1 species
AUUGAACGCUGGCGGCAGGCCUAACACAUGCAAGUCGAGCGCGCGGCGGACGGGUGAGAAAUGUCUGGGAAACUGCCUGUUGGAGGGGGAUAACUACUUGAAACGGUAGCUAAUACCGCAUACCAUCAGAUGUGCCCAGAUGGGAUUAGCUAGUAGGUGGGGUAACGGCUCACCUAGGCGCCUAUCCCUAGCUGGUCUGAGAGGAUGACCAGUCAAACUGGAACUGAGACACGGUCCAGACUCCGACGGGAGGCAGCAGUGGGGAAUAUUGCACAAUGGGCGCAAGCCUGAUGCAGCCAGGCCGCGUGUGUGAAGAAGGCCUUCGGGUUGUAAAGCACUUUCAGCGGGGAGGCGUUACCCGCAGAAGAAGCACCGGCUAACUCCGUGCCAGCAGCCGCGGUAAUAC